CUCUUGGAGCUCCGUGCUCAGAAAAAUAGAAGAGAACGAGAUGAGAAGGAGCUGCAGACCAUAAAUAAGAAGCUUGAAGCCGAAAAGAAAGAGUUGAAUGAGGAAGUAGCUAAAUUACAGCAGAGGCUUGGGAAAGAGAAGCAGAGGAGGCAGGAUGCUGAGAUGGCCCUGAAGUCCUGAAUGAAGGAGCUUGAGACCAAAGACAUAAAGUUUGAAGAAAAAGUAACUGAAGUCCAGCAGCAGGUAAAAGAUGAACAGAGGAGAGAGGAAGCUGAGUAAGACGUGGAGGUCCUGAAACAGGAGUUGGAAAACUAGAUUUACUUAACAUGUAUAUCUUUAUAAAAUAGAUAAAGAGUCGUUUUAUAGUCCUGAGUCUGUACGAGCCGAGUACAUCAGUAUGAUGUCAUAGGCUUUGGAUAUGGUUCAUGUAGUCUGGAUCGAAAAUGCUCAGAUUGUUUCUGCUUUGUUCCCAAACCUCUCUUUGUUUCGUUUUCUCUGUAUGUGUCAUAUUAUCACAGCACUAAAGUACAAGAACUGAGAAUGAAUACUUGAAGAGUG